AAGACACUAGUAAAACAAACAUUACCCUGCUUUGUCAAAGCAAUAUUGUGGGUUAGAUCCCCACGUGUCUUG
rnacentral:tRNA from 1 species